UGUACUCGCGAUAGUUCUUAUGUACGUAAUCAGCAUUUAUAUAUUUCGAAUAGAGAAAAACAGAAAGCUAAGAUUUAAAAAAAAUGUAUUUUUGAUAAUUUUGAGAUUCGAACGUGUUAUCCAUGGUACAUCCUGUGCUUGAUCAUGUUGACUCGUUCGAAUUUAGUUCAAUUAAAUUUCUGAGAUGAGAUAAGAGAGGAGCCGAUAAUGAUAGAAAAGUGCUGAGACUGGAUUGUAAUCUUGUCUUUCAUUAUUCGACCAAGAAUAUCAAUCGGCUCCGUUUUGCUCUCACUGCCGGUUACAUUCGCGCGUGCGGCCUUAUCUUCAUAAAGUGAAAAAAAAUAGAGGUUAGGACAGUUCGUGCGCGUUGCUCUGCACGGCGAUCGCGACGGCGAAGGAAAAAUGGCAAGAUUGAUCACCCAGAUUAGCAGGUGCGUGAUAAAAACUGUCUCGCACGAUUUGCUCUAUACAACUGCGAAGUCGAAGAUAGCCCUUGUCAUAAUGCGAUCCAUAACCACAACUCAGUAUUUGAGAGAUGAACGAUGGUACACUGAUAAACACGAAUGGGUAACAGUAGAUGGCAAAAUCGGCACAGUCGGUAUAUCGGAUUACGCGCAGGAUGCUCUCGGAGAUGUGGUGUACGCGCAACUUCCCGAUGUAGGAUCGGCAAUCAAGAAAAAUGAGGAAUGUGGAGCUCUAGAAUCAGUGAAGGCAGCUUCAGAAUUGACAAGUCCGGUCAGUGGGAGAGUCACAGCGAAAAAUGAGGCAGUUGAAAGUAAACCCGGGUUAAUUAAUAAAUCUUGUUACAAAGACGGUUGGCUAUUCAAAGUAGAGUUAAACAACUCAGACGAGCUCAAGAACUUAAUGAAUGAAGAGGCUUAUAAUGUGUUUUUGAAAUCAGACGCGCAUUAAAUCUAGAAAUCUAAUGCCAGAAAAUUUUCUUCAAAGUAGAACUUGAAGCAAAUUGCGCAGGUACGUGUUCGAUACAUGAAUAAAAACAAGAGGAACCGUAACGGAUAAUAUUACCAAUUUACCAAUGCAAGAAAAGAUUUCUGUCUCUGUUGCCGUUUAACUUUGCAUCUGACACAAUAUGUAAUUUCCAAUGGCUUCAAAUACCACAGGUGUCAAAAAGACAACCUUCACAGCACUGAAGAAUUUCUUUGACUAUUG